rnacentral:ribozyme from 11 species
AUAUUUCAUUUUUUCGUAUGUUUACUGUUUGAAUUUUUUUUUUUUGAACGCCGUGUAUUUUUGUCCCUUUUUUUUUC